GGAACUUGUUGAUGAAGAAGAAGCAGAGGAGCGGGUUCCCGUGUCCUUGAAUCCUCCAGCCCUAUCACAGCCUGCUGAAAGACUACAGAACUUGAGGAGGAAACCAAG